rnacentral:sRNA from 1 species
GUGCGCCUCCCCGCGGGUUUGCGACGUUUAGCGACUAUUGCGCCUGCGCCAGCGCCGGCUGCGAGACUGGGGCCGUGGCUGCUGGUCCCGGGUGAUGCUAGGCGGCUCCCUGGGCUCCAGGCUGUUGCGGGGUGUAGGUGGGAGUCGCGGACGGUUCGGGGCGCGAGGUGUCCGUGAAGGUGGCGCAGCCAUGGCGGCAGGGGAGAGCAUGGCUCAGCGGAUGGUCUGGGUGGACCUGGAGAUGACAGGAUUGGACAUUGAGAAGGACCAGAUUAUUGAGAUGGCCUGUCUGAUAACUGACUCUGAUCUCAACAUUUUGGCUGAAGGUCCUAACCUGAUUAUAAAACAACCAGAUGAGUUGCUGGACAGCAUGUCAGAUUGGUGUAAGGAGCAUCACGGGAAGGUAACAUUAUCAAAUAACAGGAUUGCUGCUUUGGGGAUCAGUAACAAGCUUUUUGCUCCCACACCUGAAUCCGAUACCAUUGUUGGAUGGUAUUUUAAAAAGGCUUAGAGAAGAUCGCAUGGCAAGCCUGGGAAACUGCUUGCUUGUUUACUUUUCAUCUUUGGGACCUCUCGAGAUCAUCUUCUCCUGAAUGUCCUCUUUUUUUUCUCUCCUACAUUCAGUCUGUCGCGAACGCAUUGUGGAUUGUCAAGUAUUACUCAAGUCAGUCUUUUGGAUAAGGUUAGACAUCAACUUUCAGAGAAGGGGGAUUGCUGCUCUCCUGUUAUAGUUGUUUCUUCCCAGAGGUUAAUAUCCUUGGACUUUGAACACCAUCUUUUUUGACAGUGGACAUGCUAUUAACAGUCAGGAUCAUAACUAAGUUGGCUUGGAUUCUUUAAGAAAA